rnacentral:rRNA from 1 species
GACGAACCGUGCGAACGUUGUUCGGAUUCACUGGGGCGUAAAGGGUGCGUAGGCGGUCGGGUAAGUCUGAUGUGAAAUCUCACAGCUUAACUGUGAAACUGCAUUGGAUACUAUCCGGCUCGAGGAAUGGAGGGGAGACUGGAAUACUUGGUGUAGCAGUGAAAUGCGUAGAUAUCAAGUGGAACACCAGUGGCGAAGGCGAGUCUCUGGACAUUUCCUGACGCUGAGGCACGAAAGCCAGGGGAGCAAACGGG